CCUACGGGUGGCAGCAGUGAGGAAUAUUGGUCAAUGGGCGGAAGCCUGAACCAGCCAAGUAGCGUGCAGGAUGACGGCCCUACGGGUUGUAAACUGCUUUUAUACGGGAAUAACGCGCCUUACGUGUAGGGCUUUGCAUGUACCGUAUGAAUAAGGACCGGCUAAUUCCGUGCCAGCAGCCGCGGUAAUCCGGAAUGUCCGGGCGUUACCCGGAUUGAUUGGGUGUAAAGGGAGCGUAGGCCGCAUGUCAAGUGUGCUUUGAAAUGUCCGGGCUGAACCCGGGCCUUGCAGCGCGAACUGGCGGGCUUGAGUCGGCAGAAAGCAGGCGGAAUUCGUCGUGUAGCGGUGAAAUGCUUAGAUAUGACGAAGAACCCCGAUUGCGAAGGCAGCUUGCUGCAGCGGAACUGACGCUGAUGCUCGAAAGCGCGGGUAGCGAACAGGAUUAGAUACCCGGGUAGUC
rnacentral:rRNA from 1 species